rnacentral:rRNA from 1 species
AUGACUUUUUUAUCAUGGCACUUUAAUAGGAGUGGGAUUUUUCCGGUUAGAUCAGCAUACCAUGAACAAUGGGAGCAUAAACACGGACGAAAGUUGAGGAUGACUAACUCUAUACAAGCCUCAAGUACUAGUCCAGUUUAGCGUACCAUUUGGAAAUUGCGUGUGCCGGCAAAAAUCAGAAUACAUGUAUGGAGAUCGUUGCUUGGAGCCAUCCCUUGCAAUGGAGUCCUCACAAACAGAAAUAUGAUCAUGAGCUCUUAGUGUCCCAUAUGCACUUCGGAUUGCGAAAGCAUUAGACAUGCCAUGUUCCUGUGUCUUAGAGUAUUGGAAAUUUGGAGGAUCUUGGGGCUUCAAGAUGUGGUACAGGAGGUAUGUGCAAUGGAGAGGGAAGGUGUCGGUUUUGGCCGAUUAAUUACUGUCAACAAACACUACCUUGGCCCAUAUGUGUCUGAUGUGCAACGCAAUGAUCUUGUGGCCACAGUAGUAGGGUACGCGAAUUCGAAGCAAGCAAAGCUGAAGAGACAUGGUUGGAGUAAGCCACCGGAGGGAAUUCUUAAACUCAAUGUUGACACUAUGUUUGACCCUGACAGGGGAGCGGGAGGCACAGGCGCAAUCAUGCGAGAUGAAGUCGGAUUCUUUGUGGCAGCAUCAUGCAGUGAUAUCCCAUUUGUAGAAGAUGCAGCUACGACAGAAUCUCGAGGUCUCCGAGACGGGUUUCUCCUUGCAAAUGAAGUUGGGUGCAACAAAAUUUGUGUCGAGGCCGACUGCAUGGAGGUUGUCGAGAUCAUGCAAGGUGGUGGAAAUUCACUAGGACGGGCAACCGCAAUUUAUGAAGAAUAUUCUUUUUUAGCUACCAAUUUUAUUUCCAUUUUGUUUUCUCACUGCCCUAGGAAGGCCAAUGUGGUGGCAGAUUUGUUGGCUAGGAACUCGAGACCUCUCGAACCAUUGUUUGGAAAAUCGGAGCCUACAGGUUUUCUAGUGGAUGUUUUAACAAACGAUGUAUCAAUUUUUGCGCAUGAAAUAUAA